GACUAGAAGCCCACUGGAAAAAAAAUGCACAUAUAUAUAAAUAUAUACUGGUCUAAUGCAUUGAUUAUCACCCUGAGGUUGUGUGUUUAGUCCCCAAUCAUAACAUAUUCAUCAAUUUUUGUAAUUUUUUUAUUUUAUUUUUACUUUUUUAUCGAUUUUUUUUUUGUUGUUCAGAUGUUCUUUUCAGUUUUUGUAAUAUUCUCUUUUAUUUUAAAUUUUUUAUUUUUUUUUCUUAUUGAUUUUUUUUUAUCCAGAUUGUUUUUUUUCAUUUUUUUUAUUUUUUGGUCUAGACCCUUCUCGACCUCAUUCAAAAGUAUCAUUUGCUUGCAUUAUCUUGGUGAGUGAAUGUAGCACAUGUAUUCAAAUUUUGAAGUGAGCGGAUUUUUUUUCCGAGUGCAAUAAAUUUAGCAACGGAUGCAUUAAUUUUUACAGCAAAUACAAUAAUUUCAUUGAUUCUCAUAUUCUUACAAAAAUUAUAGUUCUCACUAGAGAGGUGGAAAUAAAAACUUGUUAUAAAAUAG
rnacentral:lncRNA from 1 species